rnacentral:rRNA from 1 species
AGAGUUUGAUCCUGGCUCAGGACGAACGCUGGCGGCACGCUUAACACAUGCAAGUCGAACGAGAGAAGAGGAGCUUGCUUUUCUGAUCUAGUGGCGGACGGGUGAGUAACACGUGAGCAAUCUGCCUUUCAGAGGGGGAUACCGAUUGGAAACGAUCGUUAAUACCGCAUAACAUAAUUGAACCGCAUGAUUUGAUUAUCAAAGAUUUAUCGCUGAAAGAUGAGCUCGCGUCUGAUUAGCUAGUUGGUAAGGUAACGGCUUACCAAGGCGACGAUCAGUAGCCGGACUGAGAGGUUGAUCGGCCACAUUGGGACUGAGACACGGCCCAGACUCCUACGGGAGGCAGCAGUGGGGAAUAUUGCACAAUGGAGGAAACUCUGAUGCAGCGAUGCCGCGUGAGGGAAGAAGGUUUUAGGAUUGUAAACCUCUGUCUUCAGGGACGAAAAAAGACGGUACCUGAGGAGGAAGCUCCGGCUAACUACGUGCCAGCAGCCGCGGUAAUACGUAGGGAGCGAGCGUUGUCCGGAAUUACUGGGUGUAAAGGGAGCGUAGGCGGGAUCGCAAGUCAGAUGUGAAAACUAUGGGCUUAACCCAUAAACUGCAUUUGAAACUGUGGUUCUUGAGUGAAGUAGAGGUAAGCGGAAUUCCUAGUGUAGCGGUGAAAUGCGUAGAUAUUAGGAGGAACAUCAGUGGCGAAGGCGGCUUACUGGGCUUUAACUGACGCUGAGGCUCGAAAGCGUGGGGAGCAAACAGGAUUAGAUACCCUGGUAGUCCACGCCGUAAACGAUGAUUACUAGGUGUGGGGGGACUGACCCCUUCCGUGCCGCAGCAAACGCAAUAAGUAAUCCACCUGGGGAGUACGACCGCAAGGUUGAAACUCAAAGGAAUUGACGGGGGCCCGCACAAGCAGUGGAGUAUGUGGAUUAAUUCGAAGCAACGCGAAGAACCUUACCAGGUCUUGACAUCGUAUGCAUAGCUCAGAGAUGAGUGAAAUCUCUUCGGAGACAUAUAGACAGGUGGUGCAUGGUUGUCGUCAGCUCGUGUCGUGAGAUGUUGGGUUAAGUCCCGCAACGAGCGCAACCCUUACUGUUAGUUGCUACGCAAGAGUACUCUAGCAGGACUGCCGUUGACAAAACGGAGGAAGGUGGGGAUGACGUCAAAUCAUCAUGCCCCUUAUGACCUGGGCCUCACACGUACUACAAUGGCUGUCAACAGAGGGAAGCAAAGCCGCGAGGUGGAGCGAACCCCUAAAAGCAGUCUUAGUUCGGAUUGUAGGCUGCAACCCGCCUACAUGAAGUCGGAAUUGCUAGUAAUCGCAGAUCAGCAUGCUGCGGUGAAUACGUUCCCGGGCCUUGUACACACCGCCCGUCACGCCAUGGGAGUCGGUAACACCCGAAGCCUGUAGUCUAACCGCAAGGAGGACGCAGUCGAAGGUGGGAUUGAUGACUGGGGUGAAGUCGUAACAAGGUA